CAGUAAGAAUGGAAUCAGAUUUUGCUCACAAACUCAUGACAUGGACUAGAAGACAUGAUGUAUAUCAGUAAUGAUUUUAUAAUCUGCUUCUCAAAGUAACAGAUAGCAGAUGGGUGGACCAGGAGGAAGGACUAGAAGCAUCUGGAACCUUGCUGACGCAACGGACAGCAGAUGGGUGGACCAAGAGGAAGGACUAGAAGCAUUUGGAACCUUGCUGACGCAACGGACAGCAGAUGGGUGGACCAAGAGGAAGGACGAGAAGCAUCUGGAUCCUUGCGGACAGUAAGAACAGAACCAGAUUUGGCACCCAAACCCAUGACAUGAACUAGAAAACAUGAUGUGUAUCAGUCAUGAUUUUAACAUCUGCUUCUCAAAGCAACGGACAGCAGAUGGGUGGACCAAGAGGAAGGACUAGAAGCAUUUGGAACCUUGCUGACGCAACGGACAGCAGAUGGGUGGACCAAGAGGAAGGACUAGAAGCAUCUGGAACCUUGCUUAUGGUAAAAAUGGAACCAGAUUUGGCUCCCAAACUCAUGACAUGGACUAGAAGACAUGAUGUAUAUCAGUAAUGAUUUUAACAUCUGCUUCUCAAAGCAACGGACAGCAGAUGGGUGGACCAAGAGGAAGGACUAGAAGCAUCUGGAACCUUGCUGAUGGUAAAAAUGGAAACAGAUUUGGCUCCCAAACUCAUGACAUGGACUAGAAGACAUGAUGUAUAUCAGUAAUGAUUUCAUAAUCUGUUUCUGAAAGCAACAGACAGCAGAUGG